GAUGAACGCUGGCGGCGUGCCUAAUACAUGCAAGUCGAGCGAACAGACGAGGAGCUUGCUCCUCUGACGUUAGCGGCGGACGGGUGAGUAACACGUGGGUAACCUACCUAUAAGACUGGGAUAACUUCGGGAAACCGGAGCUAAUACCGGAUAAUAUAUUGAACCGCAUGGUUCAAUAGUGAAAGACGGUUUUGCUGUCACUUAUAGAUGGAUCCGCGCCGCAUUAGCUAGUUGGUAAGGUAACGGCUUACCAAGGCAACGAUGCGUAGCCGACCUGAGAGGGUGAUCGGCCACACUGGAACUGAGACACGGUCCAGACUCCUACGGGAGGCAGCAGUAGGGAAUCUUCCGCAAUGGGCGAAAGCCUGACGGAGCAACGCCGCGUGAGUGAUGAAGGUCUUCGGAUCGUAAAACUCUGUUAUUAGGGAAGAACAAAUGUGUAAGUAACUAUGCACGUCCUGACGGUACCUAAUCAGAAAGCCACGGCUAACUACGUG
rnacentral:rRNA from 1 species